AUUUAUAAUGUAUGCAAAACAAAUACUAUAACAAGUAUGUAAUGUUCAUACAGCUACCUCUAAGAAAAGGAGUCGUGGUCCAACAAUGGGCAAGGGGAUUAUGAAGUCAUUUGUUGCUUUAGGGAGCAAAAUGAAGAUCAAUGUGGAUCCAUUCAUAGGAAGACCUAUAAAUGGAGAUGAAUCUGCAAAGCUUGCAAGUCAAAUUGGCGUAGUAACUCGAGAUGUCCUUCCAGUGCCCAAAAGGUGGAAAGACGUAGAUGAGGAAAAGAGUUUGGAACCAGG
rnacentral:lncRNA from 1 species